CUACUUUCAUAUAAACAUUGAAUUACACGAAAGAAAAAAAAAUUCUUUCAUUAUUUCAUCUGUAUAAAAGGAUAACUCCCCAGAUAUUUUUAGAUGCUAAAUUGAAACUGGCAAGAAAGAUUUAGAGCAGUCUCAUUAUUCAAAUUAGCCGUGGCGAAGCGUUUGCCAGUAUGUCACUUUUGAUGUAUUAUUUUAAAGUUUUUGAUUUGUUUUGACGUGUCUUUUCCGAAGGCGUUCAAAAAAUAUUCUUAUAGAGACCAGAUAACGAGAAUAAUUUAUUUGCAACUAUGGUUGGAUACCAUGAAAAAUAAUUUUCACAGUUGUAUAAGUGUCAAAAUCAUCUCUCCGACGCGCAUUUCCUCAACCAAGUUUCACCAUCAGGAGAUGAUCAAGACUAUGUAAGUACAAAUUUCCAGUGAAAGUAUACUGCAAUACAAUAUAUUUCAAGCAAUUGAGAUGUAAUAUAAAAAUGAAAAGAAUA